UCUACGGCCAUACCACCCUGAACGCGCCUGAUCUCGUUUGAUCUCGGAAGCUAAGCAGGGUCGGGCCUGGUUAGUACUUGGAUGGGAGAACACUGAGGAUAUGCAGUCUCUUGUUAGGG
ensembl:rRNA 5S_rRNA 5S ribosomal RNA